AAUCAACGCUGGCGGCGUGCCUAACACAUGCAAGUCGAACGCGAAAGGGGCUUCGGCCCUGAGUAGAGUGGCGUCCGGGUGAGUAACGCGUGGGUAAUCUACCUUGGGUGGGGAAUAACCCAGUCGAAAGGAUUGGCUAAUACCGGCAUAAUGCAGCGGCUCGACAUCGAGACAAGUUGUUAAAGCAGCAAUGCGCCUGAGGAGGAGCCUGCGUCU
rnacentral:rRNA from 1 species